ACAAACUUGCUGGAAAUGGAUGAGAAACCUUCUGCUCUGCUGGAGUUUGUAAGUAGUUUCUAAGGGCUGAUUUCUGCACAAGUGAAAUUGAUUGGAUUGUUUUAUUUUUCUUCUGGCAAGAAAUGUUUUUCAUCUCUGCAUAUUCCUCUCCCUGUUUUCUUGGGUUGGCUUGACGACAAAACCUUCUGCAAGACCCAGAAACAAGUCAUCUCUUCUGUGAAGCCUUCUUGAUUACACUGCCUCGGUCCUUGCCCCUUCGUGGAUUAUGUGGCAUUAUCCUCCCUAAUAACUUGUACAAUACCUUAAAGCUUCUCAUAGUAAACUCUCUCAGUCUCUGCUACUCACUCAUUCCCUAGGUUGUGAGCUUCUAGAGGACACAACUUGUGUCUUUUCAACUUUGUGUGUCACCGUCCUGGUUGCUUUACUUCUAAUUCCACUGCUUCUAACCUAGAUGUAAAUAGAAACUCAGUUCCAGGUAUGAACGGCCAUAGGCAGAUGACUUACUUGUGAGGGUUAGACCACCAUAGGCCAUCAUCAUCUGGAGUUCCCUCCUGUUAGCAAAGUUGUUUCUUCAGGCUGAUCUACUAAUUGUUUACCCACAACCCACUUCUGAGCUGGGGAUGAGUGACCACCUGCCUAGAUUUUCUUGUUAAGCAUCAUAAUGAAAGAAAAGAGACAGCGUUUGCUAUUAAAGUAUUUUCUUAAAAAAUGGUAUUCUAGAAAAAAUAAUUGUCUUUCUCUUGCAAGGAAAGAGGAAAAUAAAAGCCCAUGCACCAUAAUCAACAAACAUUUAAUUGACCAACACUUCCUUUUCACUUACUUCCCUUUUUAAAAAUAAGAAGUAGGUAACAAGGAUAAC
rnacentral:lncRNA from 1 species